rnacentral:tRNA from 1 species
UAGCUCAGUUGGUGGAGCAUGGCGCUUGCAACGCCAGGGUUGUGGGAUCGAUUCCCAC